rnacentral:rRNA from 1 species
UACGUAGGGUGCGAGCGUUAAUCGGAAUUACUGGGCGUAAAGCGUGCGCAGGCGGUGAUGUAAGACAGAUGUGAAAUCCCCGGGCUCAACCUGGGAACUGCAUCUGUGACUGCAUCGCUGGAGUGCGGCAGAGGGGGAUGGAAUUCCGCGUGUAGCAGUGAAAUGCGUAGAUAUGCGGAGGAACACCGAUGGCGAAGGCAAUCCCCUGGGCCUGCACUGACGCUCAUGCACGAAAGCGUGGGGAGCAAACAGG